GCCUACUUUUCCGUUUAACUUUUUAUUUAAAAACUUUAUUUAAACAACUAUAAUAAACAUUAUUUCAAUUAAAUAAUAAAAACAUGAGAACAAUUGAAAAAGCUAUUUAAAUAUGUUUGGCACAUAAUUCAUAUAACUAAUAAAGCAAAUAACAUUUCAUUUAGAUUCAAAAACUUAUUUUAAAAUGAAAAACAUGAGUGCGGGGACAUAUGCACUAUUAACUAUAGAUCACAUGGGUUAGCACUAAAAUUCAGGGACCUUAUAAUAAAGCUAGCUUUCUGCACUGUCCAAAAUUCAGACGUGAAAAUCACAAAAUCCAGGGGCUAAGCUGCAAAAUCUUCAUCUUUCACCUCGGCUUUGGUGGUAGGCGAGCAGGACAAGGCCAUCGGUGGAGGGGUGGCAAGGAGUCGUAGGGACAUCACCGGAGAAGGGGGAAUCGGUGACAGAGGGAAAGGGGAAUUUGGGGAAUACUCGCCAGCGGCGGGGGAUGAUCAGGGAGCUCCACGACGAUGGUCAGAGUGCGGCGACACAGUUGCAACAUGGGUAGUGCAGCAAGGGUGCAGAGGAGGGAAGAAGAGGCGAG
rnacentral:lncRNA from 7 species